GUUAAGCGACUAAGCGUACACGGUGGAUGCCCUGGCAGUCAGAGGCGAUGAAGGACGUGCUAAUCUGCGAUAAGCGUCGGUAAGGUGAUAUGAACCGUUAUAACCGGCGAUUUCCGAAUGGGGAAACCCAGUGUGUUUCGACACACUAUCAUUAACUGAAUCCAUAGGUUAAUGAGGCGAACCGGGGGAACUGAAACAUCUAAGUACCCCGAGGAAAAGAAAUCAACCGAGAUUCCCCCAGUAGCGGCGAGCGAACGGGGAGCAGCCCAGAGCCUGAAUCAGUGUGUGUGUUAGUGGAAGCGUCUGGAAAGGCGCGCGAUACAGGGUGACAGCCCCGUACACAAAAAUGCACAUGCUGUGAGCUCGAUGAGUAGGGCGGGACACGUGGUAUCCUGUCUGAAUAUGGGGGGACCAUCCUCCAAGGCUAAAUACUCCUGACUGACCGAUAGUGAACCAGUACCGUGAGGGAAAGGCGAAAAGAACCCCGGCGAGGGGAGUGAAAAAGAACCUGAAACCGUGUACGUACAAGCAGUGGGAGCACGCUUAGGCGUGUGACUGCGUACCUUUUGUAUAAUGGGUCAGCGACUUAUAUUCUGUAGCAAGGUUAACCGAAUAGGGGAGCCGAAGGGAAACCGAGUCUUAACUGGGCGUUAAGUUGCAGGGUAUAGACCCGAAACCCGGUGAUCUAGCCAUGGGCAGGUUGAAGGUUGGGUAACACUAACUGGAGGACCGAACCGACUAAUGUUGAAAAAUUAGCGGAUGACUUGUGGCUGGGGGUGAAAGGCCAAUCAAACCGGGAGAUAGCUGGUUCUCCCCGAAAGCUAUUUAGGUAGCGCCUCGUGAAUUCAUCUCCGGGGGUAGAGCACUGUUUC
rnacentral:rRNA from 1 species